UUUUGGACAGGGUCUCACUAAGUUGCUGAGGCUGGCUUUGAACAUGUAAUCCCCCUGCUUCAGUCUCCCAAGCUGUUGGGAUUAUAGGCAUACACCACUGCACCCAGCAAAUCUAUUCUUUAUUGAAAUUUGAAGCUCAUGAGGCUUAGGGUUGUGGAAAGGAGGCAAAAGUCCAUUUUUUUUCAAUCAACUACCAGUGAUUGAGAAUAUACCAAGAGCUAACCAUACCACAUCUGCCCUUGGGAGACCACAAUCCAGGGAGGAGCAGUUCUAGAGCCUGAUAAAUGUAGACAAAACAACCAAACAUAAGUCUUCAUGACUGGUGAGCUGGGCUUCAACAUAAAACAAAUAAACAUCAAUUUAAACCAGGUUUUUAAAAAAAUAUGCCUUGACAUAAAUUGCAUAUCAUUUCCAUAGCCAAAGUACAGCAUUAAAUUCAAAAACCACAAUUUGUUAGACCUUCUUUUUUAUUUCUCCAUAUUAAUUGUUUAGAAUGUCGGCUGUCUGUGUGCAUUUUGUGUUUUAAUGUAAGACUUGACAGUGCUGUUUUCUCCUCCCUAAGUUUAACCACAAAGAAAGGGACUGGUUUGUGACAUAUAUCCUUGGGGAUUUACUAUAAACUAAGUGUCAGCAGUCUUCAUGCCAACAAAGUUUUAAAUUGGUUUUACGGCUCAAGGAAUCUGCCCAGUUUAAAUAGAAUCUGUUAAGCUUCAUGCACAUCCAGAUAAUCAUCAAAUACAUCGAAGAGAAAUAUGAAUGCAAAAUAACCAAAUCUUCACGUGAGUAAAUAAUUUCCUCUUACUGGUGACAUUUAGGUAUUAAAAUAGCAGUAGCCAGACAACAGGUAUAUGCAAUUUCUGUAGCACAAGAAGAGAAAACACAAGCUUUAACUAACACUAUUGGUCUUGGUUUUGUACAGAUCCUAUGAGUCACUCUCAUUUCAGAAGUCACUUUUCAUAAACAGUAUCUUUAUGUAUUUUAAGCCUUGCUCUCUUUUUUUAAAGGUGAUAGGAAACCUUCCUGGCAACCCUGAUUCAAAAAGAAAAAUCAAAAUGGUAAGGAAAGUUUCUCAAGGCACAUAGACGUGUUUUUCCUCAUGUUUCCCAGCUUGGAAAAUGGCCCCGGAUUUCACAAUGCAUUUGUCAUAUGCCAUCAAUCAAUAGAAUGAAUAUAUUAGAGCUUUCUAAACAGAUUUCUGAACACUUUGUGGGACUACAUUAGAAAUAAGAUCAUAUAAUAAUUAACUUAGAAAUUAAUUCCCCUUGAAUGGGGUCCAAGGAAGAUGUACAUUUUACUGAAUUUUUCUCUACAGCAAGAGUUCUUCCAGUGAAAUUUCAGCAUAUGGAUUUGUGGUUUGGAGUCAGUUACUUGAUUUUUUUAAAAUGUUUAUUUAUUUAUUGAUACUGUGUUGUUUCUAAAGGAUGUGAGGCAGCUAUUAAAAUCCACAUUAUCCAAAACAAAAGUGAGGAACUCAAUAAAAAUAGAAAUAAAAGGGUAAGGCAAAGCUAGAAGUGUCUUUACUGCAUAAAUGCAGAACCUUGAUAUGUUCUCUUGCCAAUGAAGGAACAUCUUUAAAAAUAAUAGAAUUGGCAGUAAUGAUAAGUCCUACUGCACACUAGAAAUAAAUCUUUCCCCACAAGGGCAAAGUUUUGAAAUAACACAGACUAUUGAAAUUCACAGCUUAUAGAUACUCUUCAAAUCUGGAUUUUGCUAUAUAUGUGCCUGGUGUAUAGUAUGUAUCCAAUAAAUGUCUGAUGAUAGGUGGAUUGAAUGAGCAAACUGAAGGAAAACAAAAUUUUAAUCAGCAAUCGUUCAUAGAGUUCCUAUUAUGUGAUAUGGCAAAUGUUGAUAAAAUAACUAGUAAGAUAGAAAUCCAGAUCUUAAGAAAUAGGGGACUGGGAUAUAUAAGAAGCACAAUGAAUGUGACAGAUGAGAUGAAGAAUAUGCUCUGGGGACUCAAAUAUGGAAAAGACUUCCUUCCAUUGGAAAGAUCAUAAGGAACACAGCCCUGCGUUGAGCCUGUGGAAUGAGCAGAAUCUUACCAGGUAGAAACAGGAGGAAGGCCUGCCAAGCAUAGGGUGAAUAAGGUGUAGAGUGUGGCUGAUGGCUGUCCUCUGACUAAUAAGUUGUACUGUGCCUCCUUUCAAGGGAAAGCAAGGAGCUAGUUUGACUGGAGCUUAUAAUUUUUGCAUGAUUUAAACAUGAAACAAUAGGAAAUGAUGCUGAGAAGGCAGGUUAGGGCUCAUUCAUAGACUUGAAUGUCAGGCUGGCUAUAACCCUUGGGUGGAGAGCAAUUAGGGAAGUGAUGAAAUUUGAAUCAGAGAAGGUGGGACUAGAAAUAGGCUGGGGCAGCGGCUUCAUUACCGAUGCAAGGAGCUAACAAAUCACCUACAUACUCCAAGUUCAUUUGACACAGUAAAAGAAAAAAUAUCCAUACUUAAAACAAUGUAUGGUUCUUCCUUGAAUCCCAUAUCUGAUUUCUUCAUUGACCCAGGAAAAAUACAUGCAGGCUCACAACCUGAAGUUAUUUACAGCUACUUUAAAGUUUUCAAUAAUAAAUUUCAACAACCAAACCUAACAAUUUUUAUAUUUAUCUAAUCUAAACACUAAAACUUCAACUCCUAGUUUUAUUCAAUUGGAGGUCACUUUGAAAUGGUGAAGAAACCGAAUAAUAGAAUGGGGAGAAUCCAGUUCUACUUUUUAGUAAUAAACAAAUAACUAGUGAAAUGCCUAUAUCAUGGUCAUAAUGAACCUAUUUAAAUAAAUGGGGGGAAAGUGGUUGAAUUUAACAAUCCAUCCUUCUCUAGAACCUAUGGAUCAGUCAGGACACAAACCCAGGAAUUAUUAGGAAACAAAACUCAGAGAAAUGUCUUUACUCUGCUCUGCUGAAAAGGUUGACGAACUUACCCUUUAAGUCAUGUUUGUUGGAAGUCUACUUUUAAGAGACUACCUCUUCUCUGCAUCAUAAAUAUAAGCAACAUAAGUUUGAGAAUCCAGAGAGGGCUAGAAGAAAUUACUGUCCCCUUUGCCACCAGGUUUUACCAGGAGCCUGAGAUGUCAGUAGAAAGUUCCCUGAGAUUUGACCACAGAUUUGCCUAAUUUUGUAUCUCAGAUUACACUGUUUUGUUGUAUGAAGACAGAUAAGGAAAUGUACCUGAAGCCAGAGCUGGGAUCUGCUCAUGUGGAGUUCUGGUGGCAGUGAGUAGUCCACCCUUGGGUUGAAGUCUCAGAUUAGUGAGCAGUCCGGAGAUGGCCUUAAUUUCCUAUGGAGCAGAGAGAGGGAGGAGAGCAAGGAAACUCACCACAAAGCUGGCCACUCGGGCUAUGUCUCAGUGCUCCAUUCCCAUGUCCUUUUCAACAAGAGUUGUCCAGGAUUUAAAACCUGAAAGGGAUUAGCAGAAGUUUGGAAGCCCAUCAAGAGUGAACAUGUAUUCUGUAGUAUCAACUAAAAUAGUGUUAUAAGUCAUUAACCAGUACACUACAUGCAUGGAAUUACACAACCCAUACAGAAGUUCCACAGAAUCAGCUUGGGCCUGACAGCAGGUAGCUCUGCUUUCUUAAUAUUUUGAGACGUAUAGUGCAUGUCUGUGCAUAUAAGGAAAGAAAAUGGCUCUAUAGUACAACUAGGAAACAAGGGCAGCCUGGAUUUUCAUGAUAGGGACUUCCUCUGUGCUUUCAUUUAUUCAUUUAUUUAUUUAUUUUUAUUAUGCUUUCUUGACAUUGACGUGGGUGACAUUGUCUAAAGGAAAUUGUGGGUCAUGUGAAUUUUUCCCAACAUUGAAGACUUUAAAGGAUUGUGUUCAUUCCAAUGUUGGGAUGAGGAAACUGUUCCAUGCACACCUAUUGCUUGGUCUUAGCAGUUGCUAUACACUUAUCUCACUCACAGUCCCAAAGUUGAGAAUUUACACUGGAAACCAUGAACCCCCACUUUCCCAAGCAGAGACACUGUUAAUGUUACGAUGCGCAUAAAUACCUCAACUGUCUGGGCUGAGAGAAGGAAGGGGCUGCAGGUUUACAAGAGAGCAGCUAUAGUCCUCAUUCCAUGUGGUUCCACCAUCUGACAACUGGACUUGACAUUCUAGUCUUUCUCACUGUGGAAAAGAAAUGUUACUGUUUAAUUCAUAUCCAAAGUUAUAAAUACAGCUUGUAAAUUCUACUGACUUGUUUCAUUUUUGUUUGGUCCUUGAGAAGUACAACUUGCAUUUUGCAGAUGGUAAUUUCUGGUGUCGUUCCCUGCUGCUUUUUUUUUUUUCUGUAUAAAAUUGCUGUAUUUGUUAAAGUUUGUUUGUUGUGUGGUUUUUAACUCCCAUUGGUGCACUGUACAAUGGGGUGUUGUGAUGUACCUUGAAGAAAGAAAUAAUAUACAGAUGUAUUAUGGAGUGUGUUUUAUUUUCAAAUGACUGUAGUGUUGACAAUAUAUUGAUUUGUCAAAAUUCUAAGGGAAAAUUCUAAAUUUACCAAAAUGUGUAUAUUUUAAUAAAUGCAUAAAGCUUU